AGCAGCCGCGGUAAUUCCAGCUCCAAUAGCGUAUAUUAAAGUUGUUGCAGUUAAAAAGCUCGUAGUUGAAUUUCGGGGUUAGUAGAUUGGUCAUGCCUCUGGUAUGCACUGGUCUUACUGAUUCCUCCUUCCUGAUGAACCGUAAUGCCAUUAAUUUGGUGUUGCGGGGAAACUGGACUGUUACUUUGAAAAAUUGAGUGUUUAAAGCAGGCUAACGCUUGAAUACAUUAGCAUGGAAUAAUGAAAUAGGACGUUCGAUCUUAUUUUGUUGGUUUCUAGGAUUGACGUAAUGAUUAAUAGGGAUAGUCGGGGGCAUUAGUAUUCAAUUGUCAGAGGUGAAAUUCUUGGAUUUAUUGAAGACUAACUACUGCGAAAGCAUUUGCCAAGGAUGUUUUCAUUAAUCAAGAACGAAAGUUAGGGGAUCGAAGACGAUCAGAUACCGUCGUAGUCUUAACCAUAAACUAUGCCGACUAGGGAUCAGAUGAUGUUAAUUUUUAAUGUACUCAUUCGGCUACCG
rnacentral:rRNA from 1 species